AGAUUGAACGCUGGCGGCGUGCCUAACACAUGCAAGUCGAGCGGUAACAGGUGUAGCAAUACAUGCUGACGAGCGGCGAACGGGUGAGUAAUGCUUUGGAAUCUUCCCAGUAGUGGGGAAUAACCAGUCGAAAGAUUGGCUAAUACCGCAUACGUCUGUAAAGGGAAAGCGGGGGCUCGUAAGACCUCGCGCUAUUGGAUGAGCCAAAGUCGGAUUAGCUUGUUGGUGGGGUAAUGGCCUACCAAGGCGACAAUCCGUAGCUGGUCUGAGAGGACGACCAGCCACACCGGAACUGAGACACGGUCCGGACUCCUACGGGAGGCAGCAGUGGGGAAUCUUGCGCAAUGGGCGAAAGCCUGACGCAGCAACGCCGCGUGAGGGACGAAGGCCUUCGGGUUGUAAACCUCUUUCAGCAGGGACGAUUGUGACGGUACCUGCAGAGAAGCCCGGCAACUACGUGCCAGCAGCCGC
rnacentral:rRNA from 1 species